UUCCAGAGAGCUUCAUUCAGGCUUUCUUCGAGCAGUACAAGACUGAGAUUAUUUAUCUUUCAAGAGAUCAAAUUAUACUCGAAGGGCCGCAGAAUGACAGUGAGAUGCUACUGGUAGGCAACUAUGUUCCUGGAGCCAACGUUAURGGACUGAUCAUCUGGUCUUUCRCCAUCGGCCUCUUGUUARUCAGGGUGGGAGAGAAUGCAAAAAGCACUCUGAGGCUCAUUCAAAUCAUCAACGAUGCAGUAAAAAUCAUAGUCCUCUGGUUCAUGUGGUAAGAUAACAUUUCAGUAUACAAUUUCAUGCUUUUACCAAAUUAGAUAUAUGUUUAAUACACACAAUGUUCCCUUAAUUAGUUCAGGUCAGACAUAAGGGUAAAUUACAAUAUCAAAGAAAUGUGAUUUCUGUUUGUGAUAAAAAAAAAUUUAUCUGUGGUGAAGUAAAUUUAACAUAACUGAAACUGUGAAAUCAACAAUAAAAAAAAUCAAGUUUGUAUCUUUACACAARAAUAUACAGUAUUGAGGUCAAAAAUAUUUGUUCAAAAUUGUAAAUUUUUUCAGAAAAUAAAUUAAGUACUAAGAGCCUGUCUUUUUAAGUUCAUCCACACAACAAAAAGCAAUCUUGUUAUCUUUACUGUGUUUCUUUCUGUACUUCAAGACACCAACCUAAGCUACCUAAGAGUUCCCAAGCUGUGAUUUUAAGUACACUGACAAAAAUGUUCUGCUGUGUCUACUUAAAAAUAUGAAGUUAAAUUAAGUAAAAGCUUAACGUUCAGGACGUCCCCAGACCUUAUUCCAUUCCUGCUGAAGCAAACCUGCAAACCAAAGAGAAAGUUUUGAACAUUUGCCCAWCUGAUUCUGUGUUGAAUAAUAAAAUAUACACUAUAAUAUGUUUUAUAAUGUGUUUAUAAUGUGUUUUUAAUGUUUAAAAACACAUUAUAACAGUGUUUUAACAAAAACUAAUGCUGUUGUUGGUGAUGUAGGCAGAAAAAAUAGAUUGGAUGAGAUUAACACCUACAGUAGCAAAA